UAACCGGCUUCAUGAGAGGUCGCUGAACGAUCAGAAGUCAGCCGAGGUCGUAGUACGAACGUUAAAUCAUCCUGUUUUGUAACAGGGU
rnacentral:ncRNA from 1 species